UUGUAUGAGGACACAGCAAUAAGGUGGCCAUCUGGAACCCAGAAAGGAAGCUCCUACCAGAAACUGACUCUCCUGGACCUUGACGUGGGACUUCGAGCCUCCAGAACUUUCUUGUCAUUGGUGAUAGAAAAAGGAAGAAUUGGGAGGAGACUCCAGAAGGAGGAUGACACCAAAGCACGUGGUCACCUGCUGAGACGUGGAUACAUCCCAUUCGCACUAAGCACCUACAGCUGUGCUUUGGCGAAGACUAUACAUUGAAGACCUCGGGGAAGUUUCCCGAUGUCCUCGGUGAGGCAAAGCUGAGAACACUGAUGUCAGAGCUGGUGACUUCUGCAGUUAACACAGACUAGAGCUGGAACUCAUUGUCAGCCCCUGAUUCCAUGCAACCUCUUUCACUUCUUAUACCACUAUUCC
rnacentral:lncRNA from 1 species